UGAUGUAUCUCUUCCGUCGAGGUAAUUUUAAUCAAUAUUAUUACAAUUUUUAUGUAGCCCUGUGUUGUAGGGCUUUCUUCUCUGUCAGUGCCCGUAUCUGACCAACUUAAAGCCGAAUGAAUUUCAAUUCAAGCAGAGUGAUGAGUUCGCUCAGCAGCAUCCCCCCGAAAAAUGAAUGGGGAACCGAAUUCAUUAAGAACAAUCGCCAGCAAAAUACUGUAUACUCUGUAUUUCGUGUGCCAAAAUGUGACGCUUGGUGCGAAACAAUUCGACAGGCACUUCUGUUUUCAGGCUCCUAAUAGCGGCCCAGAAUACCGCAGAGUUGGCUAAUAAUGGGCUUUGGCUUGGGCAUGAGCCAUCAUCGUCAUCUGGGAGCCGGAGGAGCGGCGAAAUAAAUUUAUGUUCUACUGCACUUUCAGCACCUUGCGCCGAUGUCUGGCAUUUUGCAUUCACCUCGCGCGGUGGGCAUUAUAAAAAUCAUUUUCAUUUUCGUGGACCUUAGAACGCAGAGCGCAGAGCACCGAAAUAAAAGUAAUAACAAUCAUUAUGAUUAAACGCAGCUAUUUGAAAAGUCGUGUCCCAAGUUAAUGAAAAUGUAAUUGAGCAGCGAGUGCCGUGCGCGUUUUCGUUCCUGGCUCUGCAUCUUCAACUUCUCCAUCUCCGGAUGGAGAGCUGGAUCUGCAACAGCAGGUCCACCAGCAGACAGCGACACCCCAGACCAGACACCGGACCAUUUCCGAGAUCGGGAACUCAACCCCAGUUCCCAUACAGAGAAAAACGCAGUCCCCAUUCAAGAACUUUUUAAAACAAUCACUUUAUGUUAUGCAGAUCUUUGAUAUGCGAAUUAGCUUUAAUUCAAUUGCUUUCAAUUAAUUUCGAAAAUCAUGGUGCUCUGUUAUAAGCUGUAAAAAUAAUGCAUAAUAAUGUAAAGGCAUCGAAAAAU
ensembl:ncRNA lncRNA:CR45905 long non-coding RNA:CR45905